rnacentral:rRNA from 1 species
AUCAACGCUGGCGGCGUGCCUAACACAUGCAAGUUGAGCGCUUGAGGGGGGCAACCCCCAAGAGAGCAGCGAACGGGUGAGUAACGCGUGGGUGAUCUUCCUUCGAGUGGGGAACAACAUCGGGAAACUGGUGCUAAUUCCGCAUAACACCCUGGGGCUACGAGCCUCAGGAUCAAAGCCGGGGACCGCAAGGCCUGGCGCUUGAAGAUGAGCCCGCGUCCGAUUAGCUAGUUGGCGGGGUAAUGGCCCACCAAGGCUCCGAUCGGUAGCCGGCCUGAGAGGGCGGACGGCCACACUGGAACUGAGACACGGUCCAGACUCCUACGGGAGGCAGCAGUGGGGAAUUUUUCGCAAUGGGCGCAAGCCUGACGAAGCAACGCCGCGUGGAGGAUGAAGGUCUUCGGAUUGUAAACUCCUGUCGACCGGGACGAAUGCACCCGACCUAAUACGUCGGAGUGUUGACGGUACCGGUAGGAGGAAGCCACCGGCUAACUACUGUGCCAGCAGCCGCGGUAAUACAGUAGGGUGGCAAGCGUUAGUCGGAAUUACUGGGCGUAAAGCGUGCGCGUAGGCGGCUUUGUAAGACUAGGUGUGAAAGCCCUCGGGCUUAACCUGGGAAUGCGCUACGUGAUACUGCAGAGCUCGAGUUCGGCAGAGGGGAAGCGGAAUUCCCGGUGUAGCAGGUGAAAUGCGUAGAGAUGUCGGAGGAACACCAGUGGCGAAGGCAGGCCCUCUGGUACGACACUGACGCUGCAGUGCAGCGAAAGCGUAGGGGAGCAAACAGGAUUAGAUACCCCUGGUAGUCCUACGCCUAAACGAUGCUCAGCUAGGGUGUUGGGGAGGAUACUUCCCUUAGUAGCCGAAGCUAACGCAUUAAGGAUGCCGCCUGGGGAGUACGGUCGCAAGGAUGAAAACUCAAAGGAAUUGACGGGGGACCCGCACAAGCGGUGGAGUAUGUGGCUUAAUUCGAUGCGACGCGAAGAACCUUACCUGGGCUUGACAUGCCACGGGAAUCCGUCGAGAAGAGGGAGUGCCUUCGGAGCCUGCACAGGUGGCUGCAUGGCUGUCGUCAGCUCGUGUCGUGAGAUGUUGGCUUAAGUGGCCGCAACGAGCGCAACCCUUGUCCUUAGUUGCCAGCGAGUAAGUCGGGAACUCUAGGGAGACUGCCGGUGACAAACCGGAGGAAGGUGGGGAUGACGUCAAGUCAUCAUGCCCCUUACGACCAGGGCUACAACACGUACUACAAUGCUGGGGACAAAGGGCUGCGAUCCCGCAAGGCGGAGCCGAAUCCCAGAAAGCCGGCAUCUAGUCCGGAUUGGGAGUCUGCAACUCGACUCCAGUGAAGUCGGAGUCGCUAGUAAUCGCAGAUCAGCACUUGCUGCGGUGAAUACGUUCCCGGGGCCUUGUACACACCGCCCGUCACACCAUGGAAGUUGGUGCAACACCAGGAGCAGGUAGCCUAACCCUAGGGGGGCGCGUCGCCACGGUGGGGCUCGAUGACUGGGGUG